AUGAGGGAAUUAAUUUCAUGUAAAUCGGCCAGCCACAGCUCCAAGAAUACGCGGAGGAGGUGGCCCGGGUCGGCGUCGGCGCCGUCCGGUGCGGGCCACGAGCCCGCUUCCAAGUGCGUCUGCGCGCCGGCCACCCACGCCGGGUCCUUCAAGUGUCGCUUCCACCGCACCAACUCCCAGGGCCACGGCCAGGGCCAGGGAAGCCGCCCUUCUUCGCCCCCUUCACCGGCCGCGGCACCCGGCCUCGCUGUCCUCGUCCUCCGGCACCGUCGUGACCCAGUGACGCAGCCCAAGCAUCGGCCUCGAGAAUCAAGAACGCUCGACAACGGAGAGGGAAGGGAAGAUCAUAUACAUGUCAUACGAAAGGGAGUUUACUUACUGCUCCCUCGAUGUAUUGUUUCCUUUGUUUGGAGAUUGAUUACCAUCUGUGAGUUAAGGUAA
rnacentral:rRNA from 1 species